UAGGGAAUCUUCCACAAUGGACGCAAGUCUGAUGGAGCAACGCCGCGUNAGUGAAGAAGGUUUUCGGACCGUAAAGCUCUGUUGUUGGUGAAGAAGGAUAGAGGUAGUAACUGGCCUUUAUUUGACGGUAAUCAACCAGAAAGUCACGGCUAACUACGUGCCAGCAGCCGCGGUAAUACGUAGGUGGCAAGCGUUGUCCGGAUUUAUUGGGCGUAAAGCGAGCGCAGGCGGAAGAAUAAGUCUGAUGUGAAAGCCCUCGGCUUAACCGAGGAAUUGCAUCGGAAACUGUUUUUCUUGAGUGCAGAAGAGGAGAGUAGAACUCCAUGUGUUAGCGGUGGAAUGCGUAGAUAUAUGGAAGAAUACCAGUGGCGAAGGCGGCUCUCUGGUCUGCAACUGACGCUGAGGCUCGAAAGCAUGGGUAGCGAACAGGAUUAGAUACCCUGGUAGUCCAUGCCGUAAACGAUGAGUGCUAAGUGUUGGGAGGCUUCCGCCUCUCAGUGCUGCAGCUAACGCAUUAAGCACUCCGCCUGGGGGAGUACGACCGCAAGGUUGAAAC
rnacentral:rRNA from 1 species